rfam:Hymenolepis nana genome assembly, scaffold: HNAJ_contig0001568
GGGGUGCGUAAUAGACUUACCUCCAUGUGGUGCACCCUGGGCAACGUAUACUUAUGCGGCAAAAAGUCUAU